GUGCUCGCUUCAGCAGCACAUAUACUAAAAUUGGAAUGAUACGGAGAAGAUUAGCAUGGCCCCUGCGCAAGGAUGUAGUGACAUUCAGCAGUGAAGUAUGUAGCAGUUUUUU